GACGAACGCUGGCGGCGUGCCUAAUACAUGCAAGUCGAGCGAAGUUUUUCUGGUGCUUGCACUAGAAAAACUUAGCGGCGAACGGGUGAGUAACACGUAAAGAACCUGCCUCAUAGACUGGGACAACUAUUGGAAACGAUAGCUAAUACCGGAUAACAGUAUUUCUCGCAUGGGAGAUAUUUAAAAGUUGGUUAUGCUAACACUAUGAGAUGGCUUUGCGGUGCAUUAGCUAGUUGGUGGGGUAAAGGCCCACCAAGGCGACGAUGCAUAGCCGACCUGAGAGGGUGAUCGGCCACACUGGGACUGAGACACGGCCCAGACUCCUACGGGAGGCAGCAGUAGGGAAUCUUCCGCAAAGGGCGAAAGCCUGACGGAGCAACGCCGCGUGAGUGAAGAAGGAUUUCGGUUCGUAAAGCUCUGUUGUUAGGGAAGAAUGGAUAUGUAGUAACUAUACAUGUAAGAGGCGGUACCUAACCAGAAAGCCACGGCUAACUACGUG
rnacentral:rRNA from 1 species